AUACGUAGGGAGCGAGCGUUGUCCGGAAUUACUGGGUGUAAAGGGUGCGUAGGCGGGACUGCAAGUCAGAUGUGAAAUGCCGGGGCUCAACCCCGGAGCUGCAUUUGAAACUGUGGUUCUUGAGUGAGGUAGAGGUAAGCGGAAUUCCUAGUGUAGCGGUGAAAUGCGUAGAUAUUAGGAGGAACAUCGGUGGCGAAGGCGGCUUACUGGGCCUUUACUGACGCUGAGGCACGAAAGCGUGGGGAGCAAACAGGAUUAGACACCCUGGUAGUCCACGCUGUAAACGAUGAUGACUAGGUGUGGGGGGACUGAACCCUUCCGUGCCGCAGUUAACACAAUAAGUCAUCCACCUGGGGAGUACGGCCGCAAGGUUGAAACUCAAAGGAAUUGGCGGGG
rnacentral:rRNA from 1 species